rnacentral:rRNA from 1 species
ACUAAGCGUACACGGUGGAUGCCCUGGCAGUCAGAGGCGAUGAAGGACGUGCUAAUCUGCGAUAAGCGUCGGUAAGGUGAUAUGAACCGUUAUAACCGGCGAUUUCCGAAUGGGGAAACCCAGUGUGUUUCGACACACUAUCAUUAACUGAAUCCAUAGGUUAAUGAGGCGAACCGGGGGAACUGAAACAUCUAAGUACCCCGAGGAAAAGAAAUCAACCGAGAUUCCCCCAGUAGCGGCGAGCGAACGGGGAGGAGCCCAGAGCCUGAAUCAGUGUGUGUGUUAGUGGAAGCGUCUGGAAAGGCGCGCGAUACAGGGUGACAGCCCCGUACACAAAAAUGCACAUACUGUGAGCUCGAUGAGUAGGGCGGGACACGUGGUAUCCUGUCUGAAUAUGGGGGGACCAUCCUCCAAGGCUAAAUACUCCUGACUGACCGAUAGUGAACCAGUACCGUGAGGGAAAGGCGAAAAGAACCCCGGCGAGGGGAGUGAAAAAGAACCUGAAACCGUGUACGUACAAGCAGUGGGAGCACAGAGCAAUCUGUGUGACUGCGUACCUUUUGUAUAAUGGGUCAGCGACUUAUAUUCUGUAGCAAGGUUAACCGAAUAGGGGAGCCGAAGGGAAACCGAGUCUUAACUGGGCGUUAAGUUGCAGGGUAUAGACCCGAAACCCGGUGAUCUAGCCAUGGGCAGGUUGAAGGUUGGGUAACACUAACUGGAGGACCGAACCGACUAAUGUUGAAAAAUUAGCGGAUGACUUGUGGCUGGGGGUGAAAGGCCAAUCAAACCGGGAGAUAGCUGGUUCUCCCCGAAAGCUAUUUAGGUAGCGCCUCGUGAAUUCAUCUCCGGGGGUAGAGCACUGUUUCGGCAAGGGGGUCAUCCCGACUUACCAACCCGAUGCAAACUGCGAAUACCGGAGAAUGUUAUCACGGGAGACACACGGCGGGUGCUAACGUCCGUCGUGAAGAGGGAAACAACCCAGACCGCCAGCUAAGGUCCCAAAGUCAUGGUUAAGUGGGAAACGAUGUGGGAAGGCCCAGACAGCCAGGAUGUUGGCUUAGAAGCAGCCAUCAUUUAAAGAAAGCGUAAUAGCUCACUGGUCGAGUCGGCCUGCGCGGAAGAUGUAACGGGGCUAAACCAUGCACCGAAGCUGCGGCAGCGACACUGUGUGUUGUUGGGUAGGGGAGCGUUCUGUAAGCCUGUGAAGGUGUGCUGUGAGGCAUGCUGGAGGUAUCAGAAGUGCGAAUGCUGACAUAAGUAACGAUAAAGCGGGUGAAAAGCCCGCUCGCCGGAAGACCAAGGGUUCCUGUCCAACGUUAAUCGGGGCAGGGUGAGUCGACCCCUAAGGCGAGGCCGAAAGGCGUAGUCGAUGGGAAACAGGUUAAUAUUCCUGUACUUGGUGUUACUGCGAAGGGGGGACGGAGAAGGCUAUGUUGGCCGGGCGACGGUUGUCCCGGUUUAAGCGUGUAGGCUGGUUUUCCAGGCAAAUCCGGAAAAUCAAGGCUGAGGCGUGAUGACGAGGCACUACGGUGCUGAAGCAACAAAUGCCCUGCUUCCAGGAAAAGCCUCUAAGCAUCAGGUAACAUCAAAUCGUACCCCAAACCGACACAGGUGGUCAGGUAGAGAAUACCAAGGCGCUUGAGAGAACUCGGGUGAAGGAACUAGGCAAAAUGGUGCCGUAACUUCGGGAGAAGGCACGCUGAUAUGUAGGUGAAGUCCCUCGCGGAUGGAGCUGAAAUCAGUCGAAGAUACCAGCUGGCUGCAACUGUUUAUUAAAAACACAGCACUGUGCAAACACGAAAGUGGACGUAUACGGUGUGACGCCUGCCCGGUGCCGGAAGGUUAAUUGAUGGGGUCAGCGCAAGCGAAGCUCUUGAUCGAAGCCCCGGUAAACGGCGGCCGUAACUAUAACGGUCCUAAGGUAGCGAAAUUCCUUGUCGGGUAAGUUCCGACCUGCACGAAUGGCGUAAUGAUGGCCAGGCUGUCUCCACCCGAGACUCAGUGAAAUUGAACUCGCUGUGAAGAUGCAGUGUACCCGCGGCAAGACGGAAAGACCCCGUGAACCUUUACUAUAGCUUGACACUGAACAUUGAGCCUUGAUGUGUAGGAUAGGUGGGAGGCUUUGAAGUGUGGACGCCAGUCUGCAUGGAGCCGACCUUGAAAUACCACCCUUUAAUGUUUGAUGUUCUAACGUGGACCCGUGAUCCGGGUUGCGGACAGUGUCUGGUGGGUAGUUUGACUGGGGCGGUCUCCUCCUAAAGAGUAACGGAGGAGCACGAAGGUUGGCUAAUCCUGGUCGGACAUCAGGAGGUUAGUGCAAUGGCAUAAGCCAGCUUGACUGCGAGCGUGACGGCGCGAGCAGGUGCGAAAGCAGGUCAUAGUGAUCCGGUGGUUCUGAAUGGAAGGGCCAUCGCUCAACGGAUAAAAGGUACUCCGGGGAUAACAGGCUGAUACCGCCCAAGAGUUCAUAUCGACGGCGGUGUUUGGCACCUCGAUGUCGGCUCAUCACAUCCUGGGGCUGAAGUAGGUCCCAAGGGUAUGGCUGUUCGCCAUUUAAAGUGGUACGCGAGCUGGGUUUAGAACGUCGUGAGACAGUUCGGUCCCUAUCUGCCGUGGGCGCUGGAGAACUGAGGGGGGCUGCUCCUAGUACGAGAGGACCGGAGUGGACGCAUCACUGGUGUUCGGGUUGUCAUGCCAAUGGCACUGCCCGGUAGCUAAAUGCGGAAGAGAUAAGUGCUGAAAGCAUCUAAGCACGAAACUUGCCCCGAGAUGAGUUCUCCCUGACCCUUUAAGGGUCCUGAAGGAACGUUGAAGACGACGACGUUGAUAGGCCGGGUGUGUAAGCGCAGCGAUGCGUUGAGCUAACCGGUACUAAUGAACCGUGAGGCUUAACC